GGCAGCCGCGACCUUACAGGGGUUUUGUGGGGAAAGCCGGCCGGCGAGGCCCGCCGCCCCCUCCCGCUGGCGCGCUCAAGGACAUUUUGCUUUUCCUCCCAAGGACAAAGGACAAUAAAAGGAGCCGGGGAGCCACUUACCGGGUAUAACUCGGCCACUGGCACCUUCUGGUCUCCAUCUUCGAUACCGGGACUGACCACCCGCCCGAGCCUCCCGCCCACGCUCGGUCCAGGCGGCCGGGACCCGGCGCGCCUCCGCGGCCGCUGCCGCAGCCCAGCUUUAGGCGUCGUGGGCCGGGCAGCUCUCCGCCAGCCAGCGGGCACCUUGGCCGCGGCAAAACGUCUGACAGCUCUCGGUGCUGCUGCCUCUCCGGCCAUCUUGUGCCGUGUGUGGUGUCUCUCCCGUCUCCUCUCUCGGCUUUACUCCCUCCUCCUCCUCCCCCCGCCCCACACACCACACAACAUGGCCUCUUCGCUGCGGCGGCGGCGGCUGCCGCGGCUGCAGGAGCUCCACGGAGCUCCAGCACGCUCCCCUCCCCCACUUUGCCCGCCUCCCGCCUGCAGCCCCGGGCCCCAGAGCGCAAGCGCACCGCUGCCCGCUCGCCGCGGCCAUUGGCCCUAAGAGCUUCCUGCCAUUGCUUCCCGGGAGCGGCCUCACGCACGCUCGCUGGGUCUUCC
rnacentral:lncRNA from 1 species